rnacentral:rRNA from 1 species
GUUGUAUGGUUAAGUGACUAAGCGUACACGGUGGAUGCCUGGGCAGUCAGAGGCGAUGAAGGACGUACUAACUUGCGAUAAGCGCAGAUAAGGCAGUAAGAGCCGUUUGAGUCUGCGAUUUCCGAAUGGGGAAACCCAACUGCAUAAGCAGUUACUGUUAACUGAAUACAUAGGUUAACAGAGCAAACCGGGGGAACUGAAACAUCUAAGUACCCCGAGGAGAAGAAAUCAACCGAGAUUCCGGUAGUAGCGGCGAGCGAACCUGGAUUAGCCCUUAAGCACUCGGUGAAGUAGGUGAACAAGCUGGAAAGCUUGGCGAUACAGGGUGAUAGCCCCGUAACCGACGCUUCAUCGAGCGUGAAAUCGAGUAGGGCGGGACACGUGAUAUCCUGUCUGAAUAUGGGGGGACCAUCCUCCAAGGCUAAAUACUCCUGACUGACCGAUAGUGAACCAGUACCGUGAGGGAAAGGCGAAAAGAACCCCUGUGAGGGGAGUGAAAUAGAACCUGAAACCGUGUACGUACAAGCAGUAGGAGCACCUUCGUGGUGUGACUGCGUACCUUUUGUAUAAUGGGUCAGCGACUUAUAUUCAGUGGCAAGGUUAACCGUAUAGGGGAGCCGUAGCGAAAGCGAGUCUUAACUGGGCGCUCAGUCUCUGGAUAUAGACCCGAAACCGGGUGAUCUAGCCAUGGGCAGGUUGAAGGUUGAGUAACAUCAACUGGAGGACCGAACCGACUAAUGUUGAAAAAUUAGCGGAUGACUUGUGGCUAGGGGUGAAAGGCCAAUCAAACUCGGAGAUAGCUGGUUCUCCCCGAAAGCUAUUUAGGUAGCGCCUCGGACGAAUACUACUGGGGGUAGAGCACUGUUAAGGCUAGGGGGUCAUCCCGACUUACCAACCCUUUGCAAACUCCGAAUACCAGUAAGUACUAUCCGGGAGACACACGGCGGGUGCUAACGUCCGUCGUGGAGAGGGAAACAACCCAGACCGCCAGCUAAGGUCCCAAAGUAUUGCUAAGUGGGAAACGAUGUGGGAAGGCUCAGACAGCUAGGAUGUUGGCUUAGAAGCAGCCAUCAUUUAAAGAAAGCGUAAUAGCUCACUAGUCGAGUCGGCCUGCGCGGAAGAUGUAACGGGGCUAAGCAAUACACCGAAGCUGCGGCAAUGUCUUUUAGACAUUGGGUAGGGGAGCGUUCUGUAAGCCGUUGAAGGUGAAUCGUAAGGUUUGCUGGAGGUAUCAGAAGUGCGAAUGCUGACAUGAGUAACGACAAAGGGGGUGAAAAACCUCCUCGCCGGAAGACCAAGGGUUCCUGUCCAACGUUAAUCGGGGCAGGGUGAGUCGACCCCUAAGGUGAGGCCGAAAGGCGUAAUCGAUGGGAAACGGGUUAAUAUUCCCGUACUUCUGACUAUUGCGAUGGGGGGACGGAGAAGGCUAGGUGGGCCAGGCGACGGUUGUCCUGGUUCAAGUGCGUAGGCUUGAGAGUUAGGUAAAUCCGGCUCUCUCUAAGGCUGAGAC